rnacentral:rRNA from 1 species
ACACGGAGGGUGCAAGCGUUGUUCGGAAUUACUGGGCGUAAAGGACGCGUAGGCGGGUUAUUAAGUCGGGGGUGAAAUCCAAUGGCUCAACCAUUGAACUGCAUUCGAAACUGAUAACCUAGAGUAUGGAAGGGGCAGGUGGAAUUAGUGGUGUAGGGGUAAAAUCCGUAGAUAUCACUAGGAAUACCGAAAGCGAAGGCGACCUGCUGGGACAUUACUGACGCUGAGGCGUGAAAGCGUGGGGAGCAAACAGGAUUAGAAACCCGGGUAGUCC